rnacentral:rRNA from 1 species
UACGUAGGGUGCGAGCGUUGUCCGGAAUUAUUGGGCGUAAAGAGCUUGUAGGCGGUUUGUCGCGUCUGCCGUGAAAUUUCGAGGCUCAACCUCGAACUUGCGGUGGGUACGGGCAGACUAGAGUGUGGUAGGGGAGACUGGAAUUCCUGGUGUAGCGGUGAAAUGCGCAGAUAUCAGGAGGAACACCGGUGGCGAAGGCGGGUCUCUGGGCCAUAACUGACGCUGAGGAGCGAAAGCGUGGGGAGCGAACAGG